UUUCCCUACGGGAGGCAGCAGUGAGGAAUAUUGGUCAAUGGUCGGGAGACUGAACCAGCCAAGCCGCGUGAGGGAUGAAGGUACAGAGUAUCGUAAACCUCUUUUGCCGGGGGACAAACGGCGGCACGCGUGCCGUCCUGAGGGUACCCGGAGAAAAAGCAUCGGCUAACUCCGUGCCAGCAGCCGCGGUAAUACGGAGGAUGCGAGCGUUAUCCGGAUUUAUUGGGUUUAAAGGGUGCGUAGGCGGGAUGCCAAGUCAGCGGUCAAAUACGGUGGCUCAACCUGCGU
rnacentral:rRNA from 1 species